CCAGGGUAAGUCAGUAAUAGACGCAGACACACCCAGAGACCAAGGAUGAGUUGUGAUCUGUCUGCACACAUAGUUCACAAUGCCUGAACUUGCUAUAAUUCUGUGAGAGAGCUAUAAAAGUCUGCUCAGAAACAUUAUAAUGUAAAAUGGACAGAGAAGGACAAUGAGAUAUUUAAUUUGCCACGGCAAAGCCAUUGCUGUGAAGAAUGGAUAAUAUAUGUCAAUGGUAAUAUAUGAAGAAAUAACACAGAUGGAGCUGGCUUGAAAUCCUCUUGUUUAUGGCAGUACAUAUCGGUUAUGAUUCAAAAAAUAUAGCCCAUUUCCAAAAACCUGCAACAAAG
rnacentral:lncRNA from 1 species